GGAGCAUGAGGGGCCUCAGAGAGCUCUGCAGGGGAGGGGCCAAAUUCCAUCAGGGAAGGAGCUGCAGCAAAGCAAUAAACAAGCCCCAGCUUGGAGCGCAGUGUUUCCCAAACAGUCGCAAGCAGAACAUUGGGUAGUGUGGAGGAUAAUCUAUGUGGUCCCAGGAUAAUUUUGAGACAUGUCAAUAGUCAUAUAUUUAUGUUUAUAGGUACCUUUUGUUUCUGACAAGUGAUAUAGGUUUUCCUUUUGUUGUUGUGUUUUGGUGCUUCUUUUUGAAAGAUGUUUAUUCAAGUAAAACAGUGGGAAUCGAUGUAAAGAAAAUAUUGCUUAUGUAAAAGUACAGGAGGGAGACACAUAUGGUAAAAAUCAUGCAGGCGACCAAAGCUUGGGAGACACAGAGCUGCCAGGACUGAGUCCCUGCCCAACUGGCCCCUCUCUUCCUUUCAUCUCUGUUUUUCUCCCAGAGGUCCAGGAACUCACCUUCUCCAGUUCUCUGAGCAGAAUGCGGACCAGUGCAGGGCUCUUACUAGGAUCUCGCUCGACCUUCUUGUGCAGGGACCACCUCCACAUGCCUGGGCCAGGAGAAAGGGGAGCCCAGCAUGGCCAGGGCAAUGCACCCAUACAGGAAAAAAGUACUGAAGAUACAUGGCCUACCACACUUUUGGAGCUUAGAGCAAGAACCGACAUUAAGAUGGGAGAGAUGGCUGAACAAGGUAGAAGCUAACUCUGUCCACGUGUCAUAAGCCGUGAGUACUCUGGGCUGGAAUUUCACUUAAGACCUUUCAGGCAUAAUGAAUUAGGAGGAGAGGAAGAGGGGUUCUGAGGGAUACAGUGUAUGCUUCUAUGGCUACUUUCCCCACAUCUAACGGUCCAAAUCCUGGUAUCGCCCUCUGCCCUAUCGCUCUAGUCCACAUUGGCUUCCAGCUGCUCAAAGCACUUCAAGCUGGUCGAUUUGAAUUUCAGCCUCUCAUGUCCUAUCCUAGGCUGACCAUUGUCCAUGCAUCAGUCCCAUUUCCUCUGAAUCAGGCACUAAGCUCUGUAAGGCCAGUCACUCCAUCCUCUGUUCUGGGAUCUUGCCCAGGUGCCAGAAGGGUGCCAGUGAAUUUGCAGGUAUGGAAGAUUCUGCACACAAAGAGUGAGAUGGGAGUGGAAAAGCCAAUCUGAUAGAGAAGGGAGUGAAGGGUAAGCCACCUGAGCAACCCACCCCUUACCCUGACAAAGGCAAUCCUCCUUUGGAAUGCCUCUUCCGCCUUCAGUCUGGGUUCUGCCUCAGCCAUGAAUUGGGAAGGAGUGAGGAGCAUCUCAACGCUAGUGAGAGUAUCCCAGUGGCCCCAAACAGGAGGAAUCGGUGUUCAGAGAGUAAGACACUAAGCUUCACUGAGCACCUACUGGGAGCUCCUCGCUGGGCUAGGUGCUUUGCAGACAAUGUAACCUUUUAAGGAUGUCGUAUUUCCAUCCCAACUCUCUACUCCAUUUUAGUGCUGGGGAAAUGGAGGCUCAAAGUUAAUUAACUUCCUCUGGGUAUUUAGCUAGAAUCGCAGGCACUGCUACUAAAUUUAAGCCUAGCCUGUAUUCCAAGAAUCUCAGAUCCUAAAAGAGGAUCAAGAGAGAAUCUGUGCCAGGUUCUGUAGUCAGAACUGUAGACAGGUCCAGUGUUAGUGCUGUUUUUCAGGAGACUUGGAACUUGAGAGAGAGAAAUCGUUAAGAGGUGUGUGUGUGUAUGUCUGGAGUGAGGAAGUGUAUGUUGGAAGUAGAAGUAAAGAAAUGUCUCAUCCACGUUUCUAUCACCUGAGCCCCAGAGAGGAGGGGACUGAACUCCAGACAUACAGGGUCCUCCAAGUCUUUGACAAAGUAAGGGGUAGGCUCAGCCAAAGUUGAGAGAAAAGGCCUAUGUCAUCCCUCUGAGCACCAGAGCCGCAUAUCUUCCUUUUAGAAAGGAUCCUAGACCAUGCUAGUGGUCAGGGACUUUGGAGGUCCAUUUACUCAUCCCUCUCCUUCUACUGUGAGGAAUCUGAGAGGCUGUGGUGUCUUGCCCUUCUCUCCCUAAUAUCUGCUCUUUCCCCAGAACACGGAGGCCCCAGAAACCCUCUACUCCUAGCCCCUGCUCGUGGUGGGACCCACAAUGGGACCCUGGCUCUGCACAGGGCCAUUCAGUUCUCCACAGAGAGGGACUGUUCCAGAGGGGUCACAGAGGAGGUUCCCAGGGCUACAGUCCAGUCUGGCACUGGGCCCCCACUAGGGCAGAGCUCCGCUGAAAGUCAUGAUGGGCAGGCAGAGAAGGGAGCAGAGAUCAGGUGUGGCCUGGGCCGAUAGGUCAAGGGGCCUCUGGGGUGGUGAGGAGAGGUCGCUCUUUUCCGGCUUGUAGCAGGGUGAGACCUCACACCUGUAGGGCAGAGUAGGGGCCAGGGAUCAGGGCUGCCCCUCAUCCCUCCACCUCCUUCCAGGCCUCUGGGUUGGUGGGAGCAGAAACUGCUCCCCUCCUUGGGACCCCCCCUUUCCUACCUGACUACACUCUGCAGGAUCUUUCUCUCAUCCUGGUCCAGGCACACAGCAAAGGGGCAGCUGUUGGAGCCAAUGAUUUGCACCUUGUCCACUUUGAUCUGCGAUGUGCUAAUCUGGAAAGAAGGCCCACGUCAGCCCUGAAGCUCUGGCCAGGCCGCACCGCCAGCCCUCAGCAGUUCCUUCCCUCAGAAUUGCCCAUCCACUUCUGGGGGUAUGAGAGAGCAGAGUUUGUCUGACUUCACUCUAGGGUUAAUGGCCAGGUUAGGGGAGGGAGACUGAGGCCUCCAUCAGUCCGUGCCUCCUCUCCAGCAUCUCAAAGAAGCAGGUGCCCCCUGAGGAGGCUCUGCCCUACCUGCUAUCUUCACCAGGAGAGCCCCAGGUUCCCUGAUGUGAAGCCUGCUUUCUUUGGCCUGUGGGUCUUAGGACUCUCCUGGCACCCACCCCACAACUUUUCCACAUACACAUGUCCUCUCAUGGGGUACCCCUCCCUCCCCAACACCCCACAACACUCCACACCUGUGCAUAUCCCCAAAUCACAUCCCUCAUUCACCUCUCCUUUCUCUCUCACACACACACCCAUGUGUGUACACACAUGCACAUACAUAUACACAUAUGCACCUGCAUGCUCUAGUAAAUCUCUUGAGGAUAUGGCUGGAAGGAUAGGGAAGCCCAUACCUGGUUAAAGCCCUUCUUGGAUUUGGAGUUCUGCCUUUUCACCACUUCUGUCAGGUUUAGCAUCAGGGCCUCCAUGCUGGAAUCUGAAGGGCAGGGGCACUCAGGCCAGGCUCAGAGCACCUCUCUGCCGUGUUCCCACCCUGCCCACUCCACUCACCCAGGUCCUCCUGCUUCCGGCAGGCCUUGUUGAGGUUCACAGAGGUACAGACCUUCUCCAGGUUGCUCCAGCGACUCCUUCCACUGAUGGCCCCCUGGAAAUGCAGCGUAGCCAGACCCUCUGAGUCCAGAGGCCCCCCUGAGCCUGCCCCCUUCUCUUUGAAGGCCCACCAGUGACAGGGCACUGACUCUAGUCAGCACAUCCUAGAAAGUGCUCUCUUAUUCACUGGGGCUCCUGUACCACCCUGGAUAGACCUGCAUGACCCCAGGGAGGAGCUCCGGUCACUGGCUUGGUCUAGGAGUCAGCAGCCUAAGUGACCGGGUUGAAAGGUACAAGAGCUGAGAGCUCCUGCAGGGGUGGUCUUGAGUUUCUCCUGCCGAGCCCAGAGUGAGGAAGGGAUAGGCACACAGGCAUGUUGUUUCUGGCAGAGCCACACCCGAACUCCCUCUUCAGGUCCUUGUGUGAAUGUCUCUGUCAUCAGGGACUUCCGGGUUGGUAAACCCAAGAACACUUCCUGGUCCUCAGCUUACUUGACCUAGUAGGUCACUACUCUCCCCUCCUUGAAAAUCUCUCCUGGGCUUUUGUGAUGGCACCCUCCUGGUGUCUGUCUGGCUGGUGCCUCUCUGUGUCAGGGCCACCACCUGCUGGGGUCUGUCCUGCAGACCCUGACUCAACAAAGGAUGAAUAGAUCCACUCAGACACAGAAUACAGUGAGAGAGGGCUGGGGUGUCCAUGGCCACUCACAGACACUUGAGGAGAGCACUGUAAAGAGAUAGCAGCUGCCAGCCACAGCACGCUGACCUCACCAGCCUUUAUUCAGCACACAUUAAAUGACAAAGGCUUUGAGUUAACACCACUAAAGGCCAGGUUCUGAGGCCUAAAGCAAACACCAUUAGUGGGUAAUAUCCCUGGUUGAGAGCCAUCCUGAAUGAGUAAGGGUUAGUUUAUGGGACCACAAGAAUAAACAAGUUAGUUAGGUAAACUCCUCAAAUUCCUUUGAUUCUACUCUAAUUUAUUUAACUAAGGCGACAAAGCUGCCUUAAGCCAAGUAUUAUAAUAAAAACCCUUAAGCCUUCCAAAGGGUUUGUGUAUAUUUUCUAAAACUAAAAUUCCUCCCACCAGCCUGACUGAAUCCCCACAUCUCUGCUUUGCUGGAUCACCACCCUCUGUCCACCAUUACAUCAUGAAGGGCUCAAGACUCUCCCCUUGGUCCUCUGCUCUUUGUAUUUCCUGCUUCCCCCUUCAGGAGUCUCCUUUAUGCCAUUUUUCCACUAGCAGCUGUCCACCCAUCUUCGUAUUCCCUGCAAAGUCAGACCUGUUCAGCCAGUUGCCUAUUCUCACUGUUUCCUUCAUCUCUCAGGGCCUCUCAACCUCAAUAAUAUAUCACAACCCAAACUCAGGAUCUUCUCCAACUGGACCUGGGCCUCUUCCUGUGGUCCCCACCUGAGAAGAUGGUACUGCCAGUCACAGAGGAGUUACUCCAGGAGUCUGGCCUCUCCUUUCCUAAUCCAUCCCUGAGCCCUGCUGAUUACAUUACUCUCAUAUGUCUCGCAUUCCUUUCCAGCUCUGCCACCACUACCCUAGUGCAGGCUGCUGCCUUCAUUUCUCUUCUGGACCAUGGCAAGAGCCUCCUAACUGGCCUUCCUGCAUCGCCUGGGGACCCUUCUGAUCUCUCCUCCACAGAGCUGCCAGAGGUAGCUCCUAAGCCUCAGAUCUGAUCAUGUCACAGGCAUUCUCACCCCCACCACAAACAUAAGCCCCCUUAAUGAAUAUCCACUGCUCUUAGGACCAGGAUAAAAUUCCUUUCAUUGCAAUCAAGGCUCUUAGUAUGCUGGUCCCCCCCAUUUCUUUAGCCUCACCUUGGCAUCAUGUUCCCACUGGCUAUCUGCUCCAGCAGGUGGGAUCUUCUUUUCACGUGCUUUGAGGUGUUCACACUCCCUCCCACCACAGGGCCUUUGCACAUGCAGUUCCUGCUGCCAUGAGAGCACUCACCUCUUCUAAUUAACUCCUGGUUUUCCUUCCAAUAUCAACUCAAUGUCCCUUCUCAAGGAAGCCUUCACUACUUCUCCUGUUCAAUUUGCCACUUAGGAACAUCCCAUGUCCCUCUCCUUCAUCCAUGUGUCACAGUUGUAAUUUUACAUCUUGUGCAUCAUCUAACCAAUGCCUACGACCCACUCCAGGGGUCUGUCCUUGAGGAACACUCAAGGGCCUAGAACAGUGCCUGGGCUGUGGAAGAUGUCUAGCAAGUACCUGGCACGUGGCUGCAGUGAGUGUCAGUUCCUCCUGCUCACCUCCUUACUGCCAAAUGCACUGCAGCCCCAACACCACCAUCCAUUCUGUUUUAUUGCCUUGUCACCACUCACUACUCUCUGAAAUUAUCUUGGCUAUUUCUUUGUUUUCUUGUUUCUUGUCUGUCUCCCUCCUCUAGACAAGCUAAAAUGAGGCCUAUCCUUCCUGCUUAACCCCUCUUCCCCACUGCCCAGCACAGAGGCGGCAUGAGCAGGUGCUAAAGGAUGUCUUUCAAAAGGCUGAAGGAAGAAAAGGAAGGAGCCCACCUGAGGCCAAGCUUUCCUCAACCUGGACCUUGGGAUGUGACCUGCUCAGAGAACUCAUGUCUUCUGGUCUGUCAUGGACAGCUCUCUGCCUCCCCACAACUCUCCUCCUUUCUCACACCAAUCUCACCGUGCAUGCAGCCUGCCAGGCACACUGGCCCCCUGUGAGACCCUGGCUUCUCUCAAGUGCCUCUGGAAGCCUUCCCUUGCCCCCUCUCAGCCCUAGCCCUGUAGCCAAGCCCAGCAGACUCCUACCCCUGGGCAGCUGCUAAGUGCAUUCAGGUGGGGGCAGAGGACAUGGUAGGAGAGAGGAUUUGGAGGCCAAGGGGCACAGAGAUAAUCACUCCCUCCCCUCUCUGCUUCUCUGAGCAUCCAGGGGAGCCUGCUGUGGCCUUCCAGCAUAAAGACUGGGCCCAGGCUCUGGGGGAAGAAGGAUCAGCAGCAGAUCCUGGAGGGGAAGGAGCCCCAGCACAGGUCUUACCUUGCUGUAAAUAAUCUGUAGUGUUAGAGGAACAGCCUCCCGGUCGUCAUCAAUGCCCAGCCGCUUGCUACCAGGACCUGUGCCAUACACAUACAGACCCUUUACUCCUUCUGGCUUCCCAGGCUCCUCACUAACGCAGUAGCCUGCCUCCCUGGGCCUUACCUCCCAUCCCUCACCACAGUGACCUUGACUCCCUAGGGAUCUGCCUCAUCAAGGCCCUGCCUCUCGCUGGCUCCACCUUCCUCCAGGGGGUUCCACCCCACCCCAGUGACCCUGUCACUCCAGGGCUGCAUCUCCUCUGUGACCACACCUUCUCAGGGUCCUGCCUCCCCAGGGCCCCGCCCCCUGUAACACCACCUUCCCAUGUCUCUGCCUCCCAGUAACACUGCCUCCCCAUGGCCCUGCCUCCUGGGUAACCCCACCUCCUUGUAGCCCUGCUUCCCAGGUAACCCCACCUCCCCAGAGCUCUGAGUCCCAGGCCCCACCUCCCCUCCCACCUGGGCUCAGGCAGUACCCACCCGAAGCCUUGAUGGCACGUGUGGCAGCCGAGUGACCCAGCUCCAAAGAGUGGAUGAAGAUCUCUGUCGUCUUCUCCCCAGUGAUGAAGGUCAGCUGGAGAGGAGAGGAGCAUGUACAUCAGUGUGAACCUCCUGGGAGCCUAUUUGGCCCUUCCAGUGUAGAGCUUCUGGCUGCCCAGGGGGCAGGUGGGGAAGAGGUGGCGCGGGGCAAGGCAGCCUUACCUCGGUCUGAUAGACUUGCAGCAGCACCGGCCUGGCGGCAAAGCGGCAGUAGUAGAGUAGCAUGUCGGCCAGGAUGGGCAACUGGGCAGGGGACCCCUCCAGGGUCUGGGCUUCAGCCUUCAGGGGCUGCUGUGGCCAGAGGGAAGGGGGGCCAUGUAAGGGGGGUAAGUGGAUAGAGGGCAGAAAGGAGCAAGAAUAAGUGAGGAAGAGAGAAGACAGACACAGAGACAGCUGGCCAGGAGGAAGCAGGGGAGGGCCGGCACCCAGCCUCCCUGCCCCUUGCCUGACCCACCAGCCUCCGGGGGAGGCUUCUGCUUAGCCAGACAAGGCCGGGCAUUGAGGAAGGGGGCUGAAAUCUGAGGUCCCCCGACCCUUCUGAUGGCCCUCCUCUGUCACUGCAGUGGCCCCAGCUCUUGCCCUCAGUAUCCUGAGUUCAGGCGCAGCCCUGCUUCUCACUCACAUUACCUGCCCUUUUCCAAGAGAGCCCAAGUACUGCAUGGAGGCCUUAAGCUGGAUUCCCUAAAUGAGGCCGGGUGACUACAGCCAGUGGGCCCUGUUCCCCAACCCCAGGGGCCACUUACCUGACACAAGACUUCAGGGGGAAGGUGCAUAAGGCCCAGCACAUUGCGCUCAUACCAGGGGUCCAGCAUGCCGAGGUAGUGGGAGAUGUUGUUGGUGCUCUCCUCCCAUGGGGCCGUGCCCAGCUCCUAGGGCAAGCAACAAGGGUCAUUCCCAGCUCCCCAGGAGGCCUGCCCAUCCUUGCUCCAGGGCUUUGGAUGGUACCUGCAGCUCCAAGCUGAGCUUCUCCCUGCCCUUGGGGAAGUAUGACAGUUUUCAGCCUUUGUCAUAUGGCAAUAUGUCAUGUCCAAGUGCAGGGAGUGGCCAGGCAGGGAGAGGUGUCUCAUCAAUACAAGGGAUUGCAUUCCGUGACUUCCAAUUGACUUCCUUCAGGUAGCCAGAACUCUUUCCCACCCCACUGGCCCAGGGCUGGGAACGUACUCCAAGGCUGGAGUGCCUAGGGCAGUCUGUCGGGGGUGAGGGUGUCUGGCUCCGAGGGGGUGGACAGGCACCAGGGCUGGUUCCGUGGCUUCGCUUCACAGGCACGUAGAAGAACUGAAGUUUGAAGAACCGUGUGAGGAGUGGGCGAUUGUUCUCCAGCCGCCUGGUAAGAAGAAGAUGGUGAGAAGGGGGCCAGGCAUGGUGGCCUCAUGCCUGAAAUCCAGCACUUUGGGAGGCCGGAGUGGGUGGCUACGCCUGUAAUCCCAGCACUUUGGGAGGCUGUGGUGGGUGGAUCACAAGGUCAGGAGUUUGAGACCAGCCUGGGCAACAUGGUGAAAGUCUGUCUCUACUAAAAAUACAAAAAUUAGCUGGGCAUGGUGGCAUGCCUGUAGUCCUAGCUACUCAGGAGGCUGAGGCAGCUGAAUCGCUUGAACCCAGGAGGCAGACGCUGCAGUGAACCAAGAUUGUGCCACUGCACUCCAGCCUGGGCAACAGAGCAAGACUGUCUCAAAAAAAAGAGAAAGAGAAAGGAACUUUUGGUUCCUCUGGGGUCCUGAACCUCAGGCCCCAGAUUCCACCAGCACAACAACACUGUUACCCAGGGCAGAGCAAUGCCCCCGAUUAUGGCUCUUACCGAAGGUUGCUGUACGCCCGAGCAACCUUCCCUGAAAUCCGAUCUGAGCCAAAGACAACAACACGUAGUGUGGAAGCCUUGGGAUCCUCAUCUCCACUCAGGAAGGGGCGGCGGCGCUGGUGGCGUGAAGCAGGGGCCAGAAGCCAGCUGGGCAGCUGGGUACCAAGUUUGGGCUGGGGCAGGGAGCGAGAGCGCUGUGCCCGGGAAGGAGGUGCUGCUGGUUCAUCCAGGGGGCUGCAGAGGCUCCCUGCCCGCCGCAGGGGCAGGGCUGUGUCCGGGCUGCCCUCCAGGCUCCGAGAGUCCCUCCGAAGUACCAGCUGGCUGGUGCUCUUGAAGAGUUUAUAGAUCCUGUUGAACUUCUGCCCAGGCCUGCAGUGGCUGCGGUGUUCCUGGCUGCUACGCCUCCUGGGCCACUCGGAGGAGCUCUCCUCGCUGUCCUCCACAUAGCCGCUGUCCAUGCCAUCCGAGAGGCCUGAGACAAAGGAGAGUUGUAGAGAGGAGGUUUCCCAGGCUCCUCUGGGGCAAGAUGUGGCCACGUGACCAAGGCAGGCUCAGAGGAACAGGUGGGGAAGUGAUGUGCCCAGUUUCUACAUCACCUUCAGCAGAAAAGCCCAGGCUUUGGCCUUACGUGUGCUAAGCACCACCAUGUGCAGGACGAGCCCAGCAGAGCCACUGCCCUCACCAGCUCGCAUAAUUUCUCUGCGGAAGAGCUUAUCAUCACUCUCAAUUUAUAGAUAAUGAAAAUGAGAUGCAAUCCUUGAGGUUUGUGUGCUCUGAAAAUUGCAGAGCUGUUUGCACGUAAGAUGCCCCGUGUCAUCCCCCAGGUUGACAGAUAAAUUCUUUGCAGGAAAGUAUUGUGGUUGGCACAGCUAUGCAGGCAUAGAGUAAAUAUUCAAUAAACAUGUGGGCUGAGCCCAAGAGGGCUGUGGUGGGCAGGACCCUGUGGCACUGACGUGAGGUUUCCUGCCACCCCUGGCGUUGAGGCAGUGGGUGAUUGUAUGGAGGUGGAGUCAGGAAGCAGGGGGAGGCCCCCAGCCUUGAUAACAGGCCCACUUCCUCUGCUACCCAGCCACAUCAAAGCAGGAUAAACUGUUUCAUUCAUUCCCAUGGCAACUGGAUCCCUAAGACUUCACGGUGGAGGGCUCCCCCCGCAUCUCUUCUCAUUUCUACCUGUGACUUUACCAGGACCUACCUAUCUAAGCUAACACCACUGCAGCCCUUACUGCCCCCAGCAUGGUGAAAUCAAUUAGGCCAACAUUAAUACUCACUAACUGCAUUGACUGGGAGGCAUUGCUAUAUACCCAUUUUACAGAUGAGGAAACUGAAGCUCACAAUCUAAAUGUCUUGCUGAAGGCCCACAAUUAGUGAACAGCAGACCCAGGAUUUGAAAGCACAAUGGUCUGGUCCCAAGGACUAGUAGUCACUAAGUUAUUCUGCCUCUCCUUCAAGCAUUCAAGUUCCCUGGCCUCCAUUCUAGCCCUCUCUCCACUUAACUGGGGGUGGGAGGGACUCAGGAAUUGGGCAAAAAGAUUACCACAUGCCUGUUAAAAAUCACACAAGAGCAUUUUUCAACAAGCUGCAGGCUUCACAUUUUAUCAUUCCAGGGUUUGGGCCUCACCAUCGCCUGCCCCUGUAUGCCACAUCUGCUUUCUGGGCUGCCCAGAACAGAGUUUCUACCCAGCCACCUGCAAAAACAUCUCAAGGCAUAGCGUGCAUUGAGCUGAGGAGAGGCAGCUGGUUCUACUGAAAUUGGGAAGUGGUCUCCCCACAGGUAAUCCCCUCCCCCAACCUCACAACUCCCUUAUCCUUUUCAAAACAAAAAAAGAAUCAUUUAGGUCUUUGGUAUAAACCCAAGGCCCUGCCAGGACAUUUGGAUUUUAAAUUCUUUCUCUGAGCAUUGUAGAAAGGAAAGAAAGCAUUGCCUCCUACCAAAGGAACUCCAGUCACCAGCAAGCUCAGAAGAGAUCCAGGUCUGUUUGUUUUGGGAGGGAGUGAGGGAGGGAAUGAAGGAGUUUGACUUUAAACUGGCUUGUUCCUUUAGGGUUUGUUCCUUUCCUUGGGAAGCUGAGUUGGCAGAUGCCUUUCGCGCCUCCUAAGGGUCUUCCUGAUGUCCUAAAUCUCCACCCAAGUCUCUACUAUCAGAUUCAACCAUCAGAUGCUUGACCAUGUCAUGAAGAAGAGCCUCCAAGGUUGUGAACCAAGGCAUGGGCAGAGAUGAACCAAAGGAUACAAGACUGAUGCAUCACAUUCACUGAGAUGGAGAAGUUUGUGGAGAGGAUAAUUUGGGAGUGGAAAACAAGAGUCCUUCUUUGUCUGAGUUCUAUCCCCAUCUGACCCCAGUGGAGAGGUCUGGGCUACAGCUCUCUAUUUGGGAGUUCACGUGGUACCAUGGUCACUGAGGCUAUGAACCAUGUGAAGAGAGAAGCGUGGGGAGAACACCUCCAGUGUUAAGAGGUGGAAGAAUCACCAAAGGAACACUGAGAAGAUGCAGCUCAUGAACAGGAAGAGAACACGAUGUCCCAGGAUCCAAAACAAGCGUGUUUCAAGGAGGGAAUGGGGAAUACUGUUGCAAGAUCUACAACAUGAGGGCAGAGAAGUGGCCACUGAAUCUGGUGAUGUGGAGAGUUUGGGUGACCAUGAAGGAAAAAGUGCAGGGAGAAGACCAAACGGAAUGGGCUGAAGAGAGAGAAGAAGUGACAGAGAGGCAACUCCUUUGGGAAACUUUGCUCAGAAGACUUGGGUUUAUGAGAUGCCCCAGAAUCCUUCUGUUAAGUUCCUUUUUGUUUUUCUUUACCUAGCACAAGUUCAUUCACUGUCAUAGUGACCAAAAGAACCCUAAGGGGCUUCCAGUUUGAAAAAAAAAAAAGUCUCAAUCUAUGUCAAAAGAAAAACUCCCUGUAUUAGUCAAUUUUCCUGCUGCUGCUAAAGACAUACUUGAGACUGGUGCGGAGAAAAGAGGUUUAAUUGGACUUGCAGUUCCACAUGGCUGGGGAGGCCUCAGAAUCACGGCAGAAGGCAGAAGGCAUGUCUUACAAGGCAGUGGCCAGAGAAAAAUGAGGAAGAUGCAAAAGCAAAAACCCAAUAGAACCAUCAGUUCUUGUGAGACUUACUAUCUUGAGAACAGUAUGGGGGAAACCACCCCAUGAUUCAAAUUGUGUCCCACCAGGUCUCCCCACCACAACAUGGGAAUUAUGGGAGUACAAUUCAGGAUGAGAUUUGGGUGGAGACACAGAGCCAAACCAUACCAUUCUGCUCUGACCCCUCCAAAUCUCAUGUCCUCACGUUUUGAAACCAAACAUGCCUUCCCAACAGUCCCCCAAAGUCUUAACUCAUUUCAGAUUUUAUUCAAAAGUCCACACUUCAAAGUCUUAUCUGAGACAAGGCAAGUCCCUUCCACCUAUGAGCCAGUAAAAUCAAAAGCAAGUCAGUUACUUACUAGAUACAAUGAGGGUACAGUCAUUGGGUAAAUACAGCGAUUCCAAAUGGGGGAAAUUGGCCAAAACAAAGAGGCUACAGGUCCCGUGCAAGUCCAAAAUCCAGCAGGGCAGUCAAAUCUUAAAGCUCCAAAAUGAUCCUCUUUGAUACCAUGCCUCACAACUGGGUCACACUGAUGCAAGAGGUAGGCUCCCAUGGUCUUGGGCAGCUCUGCCCCUGUGGCUUUGCAGGGUACAGACUCCCUCCCAGCUGCUUUCAUGGGAUGGUGUUGAGUGUCUACAGCUUUUCCAGGCACACAGGGCAAACUGUUGGUGGAUCUACCAUUCUGGGGUCUGGAGGACACUGGCCCUCUUCUCACAGGUCCACCAGGCAGUGCCCCUGCAGGGACUCUGUUUGGGGACUCCAACCCCACAUUUCCCUUCUGCACUGCCCUAGCAGAGGUUCCCCAUGAGAACCCUGCCCCUGCAGCAAACUUCUGCCUGAGCAUCCAGGAUUUCCAUACAUCUUCUGAAAUCUAGGCGGACAUUCCCAAACUGACAAACGGGUACAAAGAAUCUCUCUUUAUUAUUUCAUAGAACUACAUAUGAAUCUACAAUUUAUCUCAAUAUUUAACAGUCUAAUUAAGAAAGCAAAAUUAAAAGCCUUGUACAAAUAAGUUUAAAAUGUUAAAAGAUAAGCUUUAAAACUACCUAGAAUAACCACUGCCAACAUUGUGAUCUUUAUCCUUCUAAAAACUUUAUUUUUUGAAAUCCCACAGAUCAUAUUCAGAUAUAUUUAUCUCAUAAAAGAGGUGCUAUUUGAGAGUCCACUCCAAAGAAGGGGUAUUUUCACCAUCAGAUGUGAAGGAAUAAUUGGCACUGGACUAAGCCUCUCUCCAUGAACAAUUGUAAGACGAGCCAAAAGAGUUGAAGCAACUGUUUGUAUACACUGGACAACAGGCAAGCACAGGUCUGUAAUCCCUCAGAGAAGGUAAAUAUACAAGAUGAGCCUCUUGAUUUUCCUGGCUUUCUGCUGGAAGGCCCUUCCACAGUUUAAAGCAUAGAGGUAGAAUCCAAGCAGAGUAAAGAGGGCUUUCUGAGUUGAGGAGCCAGAAAUUGGGGUUUGGGGUCUAGAAAUGGCUGGAAUAUGUGGGGCAAGAAACUGGAAAAGAGGGAAAUGUGAAAAAGAAGAGGUCAAGAAGACCUUAGCUGAAUACUAAGCUGUGCAUGCAGGGUAAGACCUUGUGAAGCCUGGCAGAAACAGCUACUGGAAAGCCUGGAGUUAAGCAGAGGUUCUAGAAGUUGCACAAUGCUGGGAGACAUUGAAUUUCCAAUCAGCCAGGGUGGAGGAACAUCACUGAAUACCUCAGGCAUUCAACUGAGAUCCUAGAAAGGCAAUGCUUGUCAUCUAGACAUCCAUUAAGUUUUAAGAAACACGAAGGGAUCCUGCUUAUCUCCUAUAAAUUAAGUGCCUGCCAGAAUACAAUUCUUUAAAGAAAAACAUGAAAAUCCAGACUCUCAACAAUGUGGCAUCCAUAAUGCCUAGAAUACAUUUAAAAAUUACUAGACAGAGGCUGGGCGCAGUGGCUCACACCUGUAAUCCCAGCGCUUUGGGAGACAGAGGUGGGUGGAUCACGAGGUCAAGAGAUUGAGACCAUCCUGGCCAAUAUGGUGAAACCCCAUCUCUACUAAAAAACACAAAAAUUAACUGGGCAUGGUGGCACAUGCCUGUAGUCCCAGCUACUCAGGAAGCUGAGGCAUGAGGAUUGCUUGAACCCAGGAGGCGGAGAUUGCAGUGAGCUGAGAUUGCACCACUGCACUCCAGCCUGGCACCUGGUGACAGAACAAGACUCUGUCUCAAAAAAAAAAUUACUAGACAGAUGAAGAAGAAGAAAAAUGCAGUUCAUUACUAGGGAUGUAAUUCAAUAAAAUAAACUCAAAGACAGUAUGUAUGUUGAAAUUAGGAGGCAAAGACUUUAAAACAUCUAUUAUAAAUAUGUUCAAAGAUUUCAAGGAAAAAUGGAGAGAGCAAGUUAAAUCUCAGUAGGGACCUGGAAACUUCUUUUUUUCUUGAGAUGGAGUCUCACUGUGCUGCCCAGGCUGGAGUGCAGUGGCAUGAUCUCGACUCACUAAACUCUUCGCAUCCCAGGUUCAAGCAAUUCUCCUGCCUCAGCCUCCCAAUUAGCUGGCAUUACAGGCAUACACCACCAUGCCCGGCUAAUUUUUAUGUUUUUAGUCAUGACAGGGUAUCACCAUGUGGGCUAGUCUGGUCUUGAACUCCUGACCUCAGAUGAUCUGCCCGCCUCGGUCUCCCAAAGUGCUGGGAUUAUAGGUGUGAACCACUGCACCCAGCCUGGGAGCUAUUUUUAAAAGAACCAAGUGGAAAUCUAUUUCCAAAUGGAAACACAACCUCUGAAAAGAAAAAUUAAUUGGAUGGACUGAAUAAAAGAUCUGACACUGCAAAACUAAGAUCAGUGAAACUAAAGCUAUAGAAACCAUUCAAACUAAAACACAAAAAAUAAACAAGAUUUCAAAAUAUGAACAGAGUCUCAAUGACCUCUGGGCACAAUCAAAAGUUCUGAUAGAUAUGUAAAUAAUGUCUCAAAAAGAGAGAAGAAAGAAAAUGAGGGCAGAAAAAAUAUUUUAAGAAAUAAUGGCCAAAAUGUUCCCAAGUUUAAUAAAAAAUAUCAACCCAUAGAUCUGGGAAAAACCCAAGAAGGAUACGUGCAAAGAAAACCACCAGCCUGCCCAGCAUGGUGAAACCCCAUCUCUACUAAAAAUACAAAAAAUUAGCCAGACGUGAUGGUGGGCGCCUGUAAUCCCAGCUACUCAGGAGGCUGAGGCAGGAGAAUCGCUUGAACUUGGGAGGUGGAGGUUGCAAUGAGCCAAGAUCGCACCACUGCACUCAAGGCUGGUCAACAAGAGCGAAACUCUGUCAAAAAAAAAAAAAAAAAGGAAAAGGAAAAAAAAACCCACACGUAGGGACAUCAUAGUUAAUUGCUGAAAAUCAAAGAUAAAGAGAAAAUCUCAAAAAGCAGCCAGAAAAAAAAAGACACAUUGUAUGUAGAAAACAACAAUUAGAAAACCUACUGACUUCUUAGAAACAAUGCAAGUUAGGAUACAGUGAUAUCAUCUUUAUAGGGCUUUAAAAACAAAACAAGCUGGCACAGUGGCUCACUCCUGUAAUCCCAGCACUUUGAGAGGCCGAGGCGGGUGGAUCACAAGGUCAGGAAUUUGGGACCAGCCUGGCCAACACGGUGAAACCCUGUCUCUACUAAAAAUACAAUCCCAGCUAUUCGGGAGGCUAAGGCAGGAGAAUCGCUUGAACCUGGGAGGCAGAGGUUGCAGUAAGCAGAGAUAACCCCACUGUCCUCCAGCCUGGGGCACAGAGCAAGACUCCAUCUCAAAAAAACUGAACCAAAACAAAACAAAAAGGGACUUUCAACCUAAAAUUCUAUCUCCAGUGAAAAUAUUCUUCAAACACGAAAAUUAGAAAACUUAAUGGUGUGACUGAAAUGUUUUAUAUAUUGUUAGAUCUGUGGGUGACAUGGGUGUAUACAUUUGUCAAAAUCAUACAGUUAAAUUUUUUAAAUUUUGGCCGGACACGGUGGCUCACGCCUGUAAUCCCAGCACUUUGGGAGGCCAAGGCAGGUGGAUCACCUGAGGUUGGGUGUUUAAGAUCAGCCUGACCAACGUGGAGAAAUCCCGUCUCUUACUAAAAAUACAAAAUUAGCCAGGGGUGGUGGUGUAUGCCUGUAAUCCCAGCUACCUAGGAGGCUGAGACAGGAGAAUUGCUUGAACUCAGGAGGCAGAGGUUGCGGUGAGGAGAUCACGCCAUUAUUGCACUCCAGCCUGGGCAACGAGAGCAAAACUCUGUCUCAAAAAAAAAAAAUUACAUUUUAUAGUUUGCAAAUUUUUCAUGAAAAGAACUAUAAAAAUAAUCAAAGGGAAGUGAAGAAAGUUAUAGGUAAAACAUUAUUUUUAAAUAAUGAAGAUAAAGACAUUCGAAGGCAAAAAGAUGUUGAAAAGAUGGUUACCAGCAGAUGUGUAUUACUAAAAAUAUUUUGAAAUAGAGUCUUGCUCUGUUGCCCAGGCUGGAGUGCAGUGGUAUGAUCUCAGCUCAUUGAUACCUGUACCUCCUGGGUUCAAGUGAUUCUCCUGCCUCAGCCUCCCAAACAGCUGAGACUACAGGCACGUGCCAUCACACUUGGCUAAUUUUUGUAUUUUUAGUAGAGACGAGGUUUCCCCAUAUUGGUCAGUCUGGUUAAAAAUGUUUUUUAAAUAGCUAUUCUAUCAGACCUUUAAGAAAGAAAUAAUAUCAAUCUUACUCAAAUUCUUUCAUAAAAUAGAGGAGGAGGAAACACUUCCCAAUUCAUUGAUGAAACCAGCAUAAUCCUGAUGUCAAAAUUAGAUAAUAACGUGACAAAGAAAGAAUAAAACAGAUCAAUAUAUCCCAUUUUACAUUUCAAGAUGCAAAAAUUCUGAACAAAAUAAUUAAAAAUGAAGUCUAGAUAUAUACAAAUAUAAUUCUUUCUAAAAUAAGUAAAAAUAUUUAAAAAGACCAAAUGGGACUUAUCCACUUGGAAUGCUAUACUUGGAAAGUUGUUUUAAUGUGCAAAAAUUAAUGUAGUUCACCACAUUAAUAAAAAAGAGGGGAAAAAAAUCACAUAACCACAUACAAAAAACAUUUGAAGAAACUCAACCCUUGUUUAUAAGAACUCUCGGUAAGAGGGAACUCCUCAAACUGAUAAAAGCAUCUAUGAAAAAUCUGUAGUUAACAUCAUACUUAAACGUGAAAACUGAACGAACACUUUUCACCUACUAUUGGGAACAAAGCAAGGACAUCUGUUGUCACCACUUCCAUUCAACAUUGUACUGGAGGUCACAGCCUGCCAUAAGGCAAAGCAAAAACACAUACACAUAAGGCAGGAAGAAGCAAUGCUUUCUUUAUUCUCAGAUGACAUGACUGUAUAUGUAGAAAAUCCUAAAGAAUCUAUUAAAAACGACCAUAAGUGAAUUUAUCAAGGUUACAGAAUACAAAGUCAGUAUUUAAAAAUCAAUUGUACUUUUUUUUUUUCUUUUGAGAUGGAAUCUCGCUCUGUGGCCCAGGCUGGAAUGCAAUGGCAUGGUCUUAGCUCACUGCAACCUCCGCCUCCUGGGUUCAAGCGAUUCUCCUGCCUCAGCCUCUCAAGUAGCUGGGACUACAGGCGCAUGCCACCAUGCCCAGCAAAUUUUUUGUAUUUUUAGUAGAGAUGGGGUUUUACCAUGUCAGCCAGGAUGGUCUCGAACUCCUGACCUCACGAUCUGCCCACCUCGGCCUCCCAAAGUGCUGGGAUUACAGGCAUGAGUCAAUUGUACUUCUAUAUGUUAAUAACUACCAAUUAGAAAGUGAAGUUUUUAGAAACACCAUUUAUAACAGCAUCAAAAAACCAAAAUUCUAAGGGAUAAAUUUACCAAAGAAUGUCCAAAAUCCCCAUGUACAAGACAUUGCUAAGAUUAAAUUACAUUAAAACUACAAGACAUUGCUAAGAUAGAUCAAAGAAUAAGUGGAGAGAGAUAGGCCAUAUUUAUGAGUCAGAAGACUCAAUAUGGAUAAUAUGUCAGUUUUCCUCCAAGUUGAUAUAUGGAUUCAAUGCGGUCAUAGUCAAUAGCUCAGCAAACUUUUAAAAGUAGAAAUGGAUAAACAUUUUAAAAUGUAUGUGGAAAUACCAAAGACUUAAAAUAGCUAACGCAGUUUGGGAAAAGGAUGGCUGGACGACUCAUUCUAUCUCACGUCAAGAUUUGCUCCAAAGCUACAGUAAUCAAGACAAUCGGUACUGACGCCUGAAGCACAAGUGGCUCAGUGUAUCAACGCAAAAGUCAUAUCAUGGGUUUCUGUUUAACAUAAGUAGAACCACAGCACACAUGUUGUUCUAUGCACAGUUGUCUCUGAGAAAGCAUAUCUGAUUACACCAUUCUCUCCCAGCCCUCCAAAACCUUUCCUACGGGUUUUUACUGCUUUCAGUCAAAGCUCAAGCCCCUAACAUGGGUCACUAGACCCCAAGAGGUGAGUGCCCUUCUUCCUUGGCCAGUCUCAUACCUUUACCUUUCCCUUCCAUGAUAAACUUCUUCCUGCAUAUGCUGCCUCUGUCUGAAACAUUUCCCCACCUUUUCCUGCUUCUAAUGUGGAUGCUAAUAUGCGUUCUUCUGUCUUCCAUUUCUAGGUCACUUCUUCAGGGAAGACUUUCUGACCCUCGGGCUAGGCUGGAUGCUCACCCACACCCUUUCAGCUCCCAGAGCCUCUCUGCUUCCACUGUGCCUGCAUUAUUACUAUGCCUAUUCCCUCGACUGGGCUUUCAGCUCUGACGUCAGUUUCCCCAUCUACCAUAAUGGUUCUAACCCCAGUGCCUGGCACAGGGUCUAGGUACAUUCUCCCUGGAAAGUUUCACGAGUGAGCAAACCAAAGCCCUACCCAAAUAUGUGCCCAUGAUGUUAUGACCGUAUGAGCAAUAGGGGAUAUUCCUCAGGCUUCAAGGGGAAAUCACGUCUAUUGCAAGGUCGCAGUGAGUCAACCCUCGGAGGUGUUGAAUGAGUCGUUUCUGGCCACCCACAGUGUGGGCAGGUUGCCCAGCAGACCUGCUUCCUUCCGUGUUUCCUCUGCCAGAGGCCAAAGGAAGACAUGCAGGUCAGAACCCAGGCUUCCUGGGAGCUGUUCCUAAGACCUCAGAAUACAAAUGCAGGAGAAUUGAUAUUUCUAUUAAUUUAUUUAUUUCUGUACAUUAUGCCCUCCCCUCAUGCUAUCCCCAUGCUAACCCAGAAGGCAACCACCUUGAGGAAGGUUUGUGGUAGGAAAAUGAACAGCUUGGAGCUCCUGGACAGCUCCUGGCAGGAUGGGGCUCAGCAUUGGAGUUCAAUCAAUUUUAGAAACAAGUGGUUAUUUCUUUUUCUUUUAUAGACUUUAAUUCUUAAAGGAGUUUUAUGUUUAUAGAAAUAUUAAACAGAAAGUACAGAGAGUUCCUACAAACUCCCUCUCCUCCCCCUCCCACCCACGGUUUCCUCUAUUAUUAAUAUCUUCCAUUAGUGUAGAACAUUCGUUACAACUGAUAAUAUUGAUACAACAGUAUUAACUGAAGUCCACAGUAUGCGCUCUUUGUGUUGUACAAUUCUAUGGGUUUCUCCAGAUAUAUAAUGUCAAUACACGUUACAGUGUCACAGAAUAUUUCCACUGCUCAAAAAAAUCCCCUAUACUCCAUGUAUUCAUCCUACUCCAGGCAACAUCUGGCAGCCCUCUUUUCUAGGCAAAUUAUUCAUGCUCUAUAAUUCCAUCACAUAGCUGGUAUUAUACAGCAUGUAGUUUUUUUCAGAUUGGCAUCUUUCAUUUAGCAAUAUGCAUGUACUCAAGGUUCUACCAUGUUUUUUCAUGACUUGAUAGCUUAUUUCUUUUUCCAACUAAAUAAUAUUCCAUUGUAUGGAUGUGCCUUUAUAGUAAGUCUUAUAAAUAAGUCUUGUUAGUAAGUCUUAGUAAAUUAGUAACGUCAGCCUUCUGCCUUUGCUCUUCUUCAAGAUUGUGUUGUCUAUUCGAGGUCUUUUUCUUUUCAUGUAAGUGUUAGAAUAAGUUUGUCAAUAUUCAAAAAGUAAUUUAUUGGCGUCUUGAUUGAGAUUGUAUCAUGUCUAUAAAGCUGGGAGAACUAACGCCUUAACAAUAGUGAGUCUUCCUAUCCAUGAACAUGGAAUACCUCGCCAUUUGUUUAGAUUUUUGUAGAUUUUUUCAUCACUUUUGUUUUCUCAUAUAAAUUUUGUACAUAUUGUGUUAGACUCAUACUUCAUUAUUUCAUUUUUUGGUGCUAAUGUAAAUGGUAUUGUAUUUUUAAUUUCAAAUUCCAAUUGUUCACAGCUGGUAUAUAGGCAAGCACUUGACUUUUGUGUAUUAAUCUUGCAUUCUGCAACCUUACUAUAAUUGCUUAGUUCUAGGAAUGUUGUUUUUUGUCAUGGUUGAGUCUUUGGGAUUUUAUACAUAAACAAUCAUGUUAUUGAUGAACAAAAACUUCCUUCCUAAUCUGUAUACUUCUCAUGUCCUUGUGUUACAUUUUUGCGUUAGGUAGGACUUCCAGUAUGAUGUUAAAUAUGAGUGGUCAGUGAAGACAUCUUUGCAUUGGUCCCAGUCUUAAUGGGAAAGCAUCUAGUUUCUCAUCAUAAUGUUAGCUAUAAGUUUUUUGUAUACGUAUUUUAUCAAGUUGAAGAAGUUCCUAUUUCUAGUGUGCUGAGAAUUUUUAUCAUAAAUGAGUAUUGGAUCUUGUCAAAUGUUUCUUCUGUGUCUAUUUUUAUGAUUUUUCUUCUUCAGCCUAUUGAUAGAGUGGACUACAUUAACUGGCUUUCAAAUAUUGAAUCAGCCUUUCAUAUCCAGAAUAAAUCCCUCUUGGUUGUGAUCUAUAAUUCUUUUCAUAUAUUGUUGGAUUCAAUUUGCUAAUGUUUUGUUGAGGAUUUUCACAUCUAUAUUCAUGAAAUAUAUUGAUCUGUAGUUUUC